AAGCAAAUACUGCUUGUCAUCUUUGAUCACGUGACACACCAAACAACCGCCGCUGUAUAAAUGUGACUGGGGCUGUGGGUGCCCCACAGUCGUCUGAAGCUACAACUUGAUCUUAAAGAUGGAAUCCCUUCUCGCUAUGUGCCUGCUUGUCGCAUUUGCUGUGAUCAGCAUUGCGAUUAGUCCCGCUGAGGCAGCUUCAGAGCCUGAGAACUCCGCCGCCACCCAAGGCUUCUCCGUCCUUUUCGGGUCCUUGGCGCUUGUGCUGGGCUACGUCCUGUCGAAGUAGCCAGUGUCCGCCAUGAUGUCAUCUGUCAAGGAUCUGUAGCUGGAAACAAGACGGAGG